GAUGAAGAACGUAGCGAAAUGCGAUAACUAGUGUGAAUUGCAGAAUUCCGUGAAUCAUCGAGUCUUUGAACGCACAUUGCGCCCCCUGGUAUUCCGGGGGGCAUGCCUGUCCGAGCGUCAUUGCUGCCCAUCAAGCACGGCUUGUGUGUUGGGUCGUCGUCCCCUCUCCGGGGGGGACGGGCCCCAAAGGCAGCGGCGGCACCGCGUCCGAUCCUCGAGCGUAUGGGGCUUUGUCACCCGCUCUGUAGGCCCGGCCGGCGCUUGCCGAACGCAAAUCAAUCUUUUCCAGGUUGACCUCGGAUCAGGUAGGGAUACCCGCUGAACUUAAGCAUAUCAAUAAGCGGAGGA
rnacentral:misc_RNA from 1 species